rnacentral:siRNA from 1 species
UAGAUGUCGGAUUCUUGUCGG